rnacentral:rRNA from 1 species
AUUGAACGCUGGCGGCAGGCCUAACACAUGCAAGUCGAACGAGUGGAGGACGGGUGAGUAAUGUCUGGGAAACUGCCUGAUGUAGGGGGAUAACUACGGGAAACGGUAGCUAAUACCGAAUACCAUCAGAUGUGCCCAGAUGGGAUUAGCUAGUUGGUGGGGUAACGGCUCAACAAGGCGAAGAGCCCGAGCUGGUCUGAGAGGAUGCCCGGACACACGGGAAAGUGUACACGGGCCAUGCUCCUACGAGAGGCAGCAGUGGGGAAUGUGGAACAAUGGGCGCAAGCCUGAUACAGCCAUGCCGCGUGUAUGAAGAAGGCCUUCGGUGUGGAAAGUACUUUCAGCGGGUAGGCGUUACCCGCAGAAGAAGCACCGGCUAACUCCGUGCCAGCAGCCGCGGUAAUAC